AACCAAAGUUGAUAUGAUGCUAGUUUCAUAGGCACCCCUGAGGAAGCCAGCAGGGCCUGGCGAUACGCGUUGGGCUUGUUUCCUGACCACCACGCAUACCCCCACUACGUCAUCUUUAAUGAUAAGUAUUAUAGCUCUCCAAUAAUUU